AUACAGAGGGUGCGAGCGUUAAUCGGAAUUACUGGGCGUAAAGCGCGCGUAGGCGGCUUAUUAAGUCAGAUGUGAAAUCCCAGGGCUCAACCUUGGAACUGCAUCUGAUACUGGUAAGCUAGAGUUUAGGAGAGGGAAGUAGAAUUUCAGGUGUAGCGGUGAAAUGCAUAGAGAUCUGAAGGAAUACCAGUGGCGAAGGCGACUUCCUGGUCUAAAACUGACGCUGAGGUGCGAAAGCGUGGGUAGCAAACGGGAUUAGAUACCCUAGUAGUCC
rnacentral:rRNA from 1 species